GCGGGCAUGGCGGAAUUGGCAGACGCGCAAGAUUCAGGUUCUUGUGGCCGAAAGGUCGUGGAGGUUCAAGUCCUCUUGCCCGCA
rfam:Pirellula staleyi DSM 6068, complete genome.